rnacentral:rRNA from 1 species
GAUGAACGCUGGCGGCGUGCCUAAUACAUGCAAGUCGAGCGAACGGACGAGAAGCUUGCUUCUCUGAUGUUAGCGGCGGACGGGUGAGUAACACGUGGAUAACCUACCUAUAAGACUGGGAUAACUUCGGGAAACCGGAGCUAAUACCGGAUAAUAUUUUGAACCGCAUGGUUCAAAAGUGAAAGACGGUCUUGCUGUCACUUAUAGAUGGAUCCGCGCUGCAUUAGCUAGUUGGUAAGGUAACGGCUUACCAAGGCAACGAUGCAUAGCCGACCUGAGAGGGGGUACGCCCACGCAGGAACAGAGACGCGAUCCAGGCCCCGAGGGGAGGCAGCGAGAGGGAAUCUUCCCAAAAGGGCGAAAGCUUGACGAAGCCACGCCAGGGGGGUGAAGAGGGUCUGCGGGUGGGAAAACCCUUUUUUGGGGGAAAAACAUUUGUGGAAGGAACUGUGCAAAUCUGGGGGGUCCCGAAGCAGAAGGCCAGGGCAAACCCCGG